rnacentral:rRNA from 1 species
AGCAGUGGGGAAUUUUGGACAAUGGGCGAAAGCCUGAUCCAGCCAUGCCGCGUGAGUGAAGAAGGCCUUCGGGUUGUAAAGCUCUUUUAGUUGGAAAGAAAGAAUUAUAGUUAAAAGCUAUGAUUUAUGACGGUACCAACAGAAAAAGCACCGGCUAACUACGUGCCAGCAGCCGCGGUAAUACGUAGGGUGCGAGCGUUAAUCGGAAUUACUGGGCGUAAAGGGUGCGCAGGCGGCCAUGCAAGUCAGAUGUGAAAGCCCCGGGCUUAACCUGGGAAUUGCGUUUGAAACUGCAAGGCUAGAGUGCAGCAGAGGGGAGUGGAAUUCCAUGUGUAGCAGUGAAAUGCGUAGAGAUGUGGAAGAACACCGAUGGCGAAGGCAGCUCCCUGGGUUGACACUGACGCUCAUGCACGAAAGCGUGGGGAGCAAACAGGAUUAGAUACCCUGGUAGUCCACGCCCUAAACUAUGUCAACUAGUUGUCGGAUCUAAUUAAGGAUUUGGUAACGUAGCUAACGCGUGAAGUGACCG